UACGGAGGAGGCAAGCGUUAUCCGGAAUUAUUGGGCGUAAAGCGUCCGUAGAUGGUUUUGUCAGUCUGCUGUCAAAGCACAGGGCUUAACCCUGUAAAGGCAGUGGAAACUACAAGACUAGAGUGCAGUAGGGGCAGAGGGAAUUCCCAGUGUAGCGGUGAAAUGCGUAGAGAUCAGCAGGAACACCCGUGGCGAAGGCGGCCCCCUGGGCCGAACCUGACGCUGAGGCGCGAAGGCUAGGGGAGCGAACGGG
rnacentral:rRNA from 1 species